UACGUAGGGGGCAAGCGUUGUCCGGAUUUAUUGGGCGUAAAGAGCGUGUAGGCGGUUAGGUAGGUCCGUUGUGAAAACUCGAGGCUCAACCUCGAGACGCCGAUGGAAACCAUCUAACUAGAGUCCGGAAGAGGAGAGUGGAAUUCAUGGUGUAGCAGUGAAAUGCGUAGAGAUCAUGAGGAAGACCAGUGGCGAAGGCGGGUCUCUGGACAGUUCCUGACGCUGAGGCACGAAGGCCAGGGGAGCAAACGGG
rnacentral:rRNA from 1 species